rnacentral:rRNA from 1 species
UGGGGGAUAUUGCACAAUGGGCGCAAGCCUGAUGCAGCCAUGCCGCGUGAGUGAAGAAGGCCUUAGGGUUGUAAAACUCUUUCACCGGUGAAGAUGAUGACGGUAGCGGGAGAAGAAGCCCCGGCUAAUUCCGUGCCAGCAGCCGCGGUAAUACGGAAGGGGCUAGCGUUGUUCGGAAUUACUGGGCGUAAAGAGCGCGUAGGCGGCUCUUCAAGUUAGGCGUGAAAGGCCUGGGCUCAACCUGGGAACUGCGUUUAAUACUGGAGAGCUUGAGUCCGGGAGAGGGUGGUGGAAUUCCCAGUGUAGAGGUGAAAUUCGUAGAUAUUGGGAGGAACACCAGUGGCGAAGGCGGCCACCUGGCCCGGAACUGACGCUGAGGCGCGAAAGCGUGGGGAGCAAACAGGAUUAGAUACCCCCGUAGUCC